rnacentral:rRNA from 1 species
UACGAAGGGGGCUAGCGUUGUUCGGAAUUACUGGGCGUAAAGGGCGCGUAGGCGGCUGUGCAAGUCAGGUGUGAAAGCCCUGGGCUCAACCCAGGAUGUGCACUUGAUACUGCGCAGCUAGAGUGUCGGAGAGGAUGGUGGAAUUCCCAGUGUAGAGGUGAAAUUCGUAGAUAUUGGGAAGAACACCGGUGGCGAAGGCGGCACCCUAGCAUUUUUCUGACGCUCAUGUGCGAAAGCGUGGGGAGCGAACGGG